AAUGGGAAGGAAAUGGAAAGCUCUGCACAAUAUAGGUAUCUGCAGGAGGAGUCAAAAUGAAGGAAGAAUAUUCUGUAGGUCAGUCAGUUUGCCAAUUGAAAUCCCAUAUCAAUAUAAUACAGGACAAUAAGGUGUUAGAACUGCCGAGGUGAUGUCAUAACUAUUUUUCUGAAGGGAUUUUUAUUUAUUUUUAUUUUAUUUUAUUUUUUUACAGCAGAGGAGUCAGUUCAAGGGCAUAAAAAAAAGGAAACAAAUAUGAAAAAAAAGCCCGCUACUCACCGCUCCAAAAAAGAGUUAGAGGAGUGGCCGAAAGAUAGGUCAGUCUCGGGAGCAGAGGUGUCCUGGUAAUAAGGAUGAUAAGGUGUUUGAACUGCCGAGGUGAUGUCGUAAUUAUUUUUCUGAAGGGAGUGCAAGUGAUGUUGGAUUACUGUGAUACCUGUAGAUAUUUUUGUGAAGAAGAAGGCACAUUGGAAGGGAACAUAUACAUACUACAUACAGGAUGGCCCAAAAAGUCCCACACCAUAGGGGAAUAUGACUUCUAAUCAAUUAUAUAUGGCUAUGGUGCAGGACUUUUGGGCCACCCUGUAGUUUGCUGUCAUUAUUUUUUGUGUAUUCAUGUGUCAAGUGGAAGGAAGUAAUCAUCCAACUUCGCUCGCCAUAAAGGGGCUAUUACACUGGGCAUAUUUUCCGUGGAUCUUCAGUCAAACCACGAUUUCCGCCAGCGUGGUUCUCAUUUCUUUCUUGUUAUUGCUGAUGAUGAUGAUGGUGAGUAAUACCGUCAUCCUUCAGUGAAAUCUACCGUAGCUUUGAAAGAUCGUGGACACGUCGGAGAACCACGGAAAUAUGAGAACCACGCCAGCGGAUAUCGUGGUUUGACUGAAGAUCCACGGAAAAUUUGCCUGGUGUAAUAGCCCCUUAACACAGUGAAGGAAAGACGUCUCAAGUGGUUAUAGUAGUUUGUGAUGAGUACUUUUUGAAUGGUGAUGUGCGGAGUGGAAAUUGUCUUGCGUCGGAACCUCCGAGAGAAAUGCAGAGAUACUGUCUGAAGUGAAUACAGAUAAACGUUAUUAUUUAUUAUUUUUUUAUCUAGUGUUGCGAGUGUGUCAAGUGGAAACAAGAUCAGGAAGUGAGGGAGUGAAGAUGUGUUAGUACUAUGUGAAGGAUGGGCUAUUUUUGUGGAGGGAAUUUGAGGGAUGUGAAAAAAAGAAGUAGUGUAAUUAUUUUUUGUUAUUUUUUUAUCUGGGAGUGUGUCAAGUGGAAACAAGAUAAGGAAGUGAGGGAAGAUGUGUUAGUAUGUGGAGAGUGGACUGUUUUUGUGGAGGGAAUUUGAGAGAUUUAAAGAAACGAAGCAGUGUAAUUAUUUUUUGUUAUUUUUUUAUCUGGUGCUGCGAGUGUGUCAAGUGGAAAUAAGAUAAGGAAGUGAGGGAAGAUGUGUCAGUAUGUGGAGGGUGGAGUGUUUUUGUGGAGGGAAUUUGAAGAAUGUGAAAAAAGGAAGCAGUGUGAUUAGGUAUUUUUGAUAAGAAACUGAAAUAACAAGGAUUUUUUUUUUUUUUUUUUUUUUUUUUUUAGUGUGGAAAAACACCAACGCCAUCUUCCAAAAAACUAUAUAUAUGUAAAGAAAGAAAAAUGUUUGAAGUUAUUAUAGUUUCCCAUGAUAAUAUAUUUUUUUUUUUCAUAGUGGAAAAAUACCAAUGCCAUCUUCCAAAAAACUAUUUAUAUGUGAAGAAAGAAAAAUGUUUCAAGAUAUUAUAGUUUCCCAUGAUAAUAUAUUUUUUUUUCAUAGUGGAAAAAUACCAAUGCCAUCUUCCAGAAAACUAUAUAUAUGUGAAGAAAGGAAAAUGUUUGAAGUUAUUAUAUAGUUUCCCACGAUAAUAUUUUUGUGAGAAAACAAAGUAAUAUAAUUAUUUUUGAUAAGGAAAUGAAAGAAUGAAAUGUUUUCUUAUAUACAGUGUGAUAAAAACAACAAUGCCACUCCAGAAAACUAUACAGAACAAAAUCUAAUGUUAAUAUAGUUUACCAUGAUAAUAUUUAAGAGGUGGAGGCCUUGAAAAGUGAAGUAAUCCUGCAGAACACUGUGUUGCCUGCUCGGACUGAUCUGAUAAAAGGGCUAUUACACCGGGCAAAUUUUCCGUGGAUCUUCAGUCAAACCACGAUUUCCGCUGGCGUGGUUCUCAUAUUUCCGUGGUUUUCUGACGUGUCCACGAUCUUCCAAAGCUACGGUAGAUUUCACUGAAGGACGACGGUAUUACUCAUCAUCUUCAUCAGCAGCAAUAACAACAAACAAUUGAGAACCACGCCAGCGGAAAUCAUGGUUUGACUGAAGAUCCACGGAAAAUAUGCCCAGUGUAAUUGCCCCUGAACACUGAACGCUGAGCCGUGGUGGUGAGGUUUGCCGGUGCGUGUGUGAAGGGAGUGCUCGGGGUGUGACGUUAUGAUGCAGAAAGUGUCUCCUUCGUUUUAGGUUAUGGUUAAGAAGAGUGUGACACGGACGCUGUAACUGCCAAGCAAGCCUUUCAUUGUACACAUUUUGUUAGUUGAUUUUUUUACAUCGCAUUAUUUUCUGCCUUCUCUAAGCAGAUACAUGGAACAUACAUUGAGGUGUGUUAGAGUAAUGGAUCCAGGCAGGGCAGGGAAAGGUUACCUGGGAGACACAUCCCUGAAAUAUUAAUUAAAAAGUAAUGUUUGGGACUGAUAACUAAGGGCCUUGAUAACUUGUGCUGCCUCAUUUACUGUAAAAAAAUGAAGACUCCUGUUCAAUUAGGUUUAAGAGGUUGUGGGUGGUCCACUAUGACUCCUCUCCCCCCUCCACUUUCACCUCCUUCCUCUUACUCCUUCUCCUUCCCCUUCCCUUCCUUCCACCCCUCAUUUCUCUAUCUCACUUCCUCUCUAUUUUCUUUCUCCUUUCCAUCACCCUUUCCCUUAGUUAUCUUCAUUUCUUUCUCCUCUCUUAUCUCCAUUUCCUCCCUUUAUCUUACCCUUUUCUGUUCUUAACUUUUCCUUUAUUUCUCAACCUUUAUUUCACAGUUUGACACAGGAGGUUUGUAAGACCCCAAACCAAACUAUGAAUAUUUCUUGUAUAGUGUUUUGCAUUCAUACAGUAAUUGGUUAGAAAUUUGAGGAAACUAAGUCUGAAGUGAAUAUCGUUAUGUGUCAUUUUUUAUGGUGAUGGAGGUGUGUCAAGUUGAAGUGAGAUAAAGGAAGGAGAGAAUGACGAUAUAUGUUAUUCUCUGCAAGGUGAAGUGCUGUUAUUGUGAAGGGAAUAUCGUUUGAAUAGGUUGUUGGUGCCGCAAACCCCAAGAUGUAGAGAUGAAGGGAAAGGGAAAGUUGGAUGACAAUCUGGCAACGCUGAGUGGAAGUAAGAUAAAAGGAGAGAAUGAAGAUAUAUGUUAUUCUCUGCAAGGUGAAGUGCUGUUAUUGUGAAGGGAAUAUCGUUUGAGUAGGUUGUUGGUGGCACAUACCCCAAGAUGUAGAGAUGAAGGUGAAGGGAAAGUUAGGCCAUUUUCUAUAGCUGUACAUGAUGAAGAGGGUAGAUCACACACUGUACAGAAAGAUAAACAACAAACACCCAAGAAAAAAAUACAAGAAAGUUCUAAUAAUUAACAACUUCACAAAUCAUUAAUAUUCAGAGGUAACGCAGUGUGAAGAUCAUCCAACACAAACUUAGGAGGACACCGUGGAAAGGUCAACAUUACCUCAAUAACAUGACCUUUUUUAUCGGACUCUAGCGGGGAUGACGUUAACACCUAGAGGAGGGGUUGUGAGGCCUUGUUAGAAGUGGCUCGGGAGAAUGACAUAUAUACCUCAUCAUUUUGAGAUUGUUUUCUAUCUUUUUAUUCUGCUGGUGCUGUGUGUGUGGAGAGGGAACAUUAGGGUAUCUAUUAGGGCAUGUCAGGGCUGGGUAUGGGUGAAAAUAAUUGUAUGGAUUAAGAAAAAUUGUAAAAUGAGCUGCUGAUAUCAAAGGGUCGUGUGGGUUGGUGGAGAGGGAUCAUUAGCAUAUCUAUUAGGGCAUGUCAGGGCUGGGUAUGGGUGGAAAUAAGGGUAUGGAUUAAGAAAAGUGUAAAACAAACUGCUGAUAUCAAGGGCUCUAUAAAGAAAAGAAAAUUAAUUGAAGUCUAUUGAUGGAAAAUUCAAGGUUAAGAAAAGAAAGGAAAAUUUAAUUGGUGAAAUGUAUGGGUGGAAAAUUUAUAGUUGAGAAAGGGAAGGGAAAGUUUGCUGGAAAAUAUGCAGUGAUGUGAAAAGUAUCGAUGUAUUAUUAUUAUUAUUAUUAUUAUUAUUAUUAUUAUUAUUAUUAUUAUUAUUAUUAUUGUUAUUAUUAUUAUUAUUAUUUUGUUAGCGUUUCCUUAUAAAAUAACGGAAAUAACAACACUACAUCAAUUCUUUUCUGGAUCCAUAAUUGACACACACCUUAGGAGAUUGUGUAUCCAUGUAUCUGUCUGUCUGUCUGUCUCGUUAAGUCUGUUGGUCUGUGGUGACUGUCUGUUAUCUCCCUGCCUGGUGGUGAACAGAAAGCAUCAGACUCAUCUGCAGAACUCCCAUCAGGUGCACACACACACACACACACACACACACACACAAGCUAAGUAAGGUGAUAUGACAAAAAAGAAAUGAAAAAAUGAAUCUUAGCAAACAGAGACAUUGUGUGAAAGUAGAAAUUGAGACUUAGUUGCAUAAGGACAUGUUGAUCUAUUUUGAACUCUAUAUAUAUGUAAAUACUAAGAGGUAAACACACACACACACACACCUGACUGCAAAGCCCAAUCACUCAUCAAAAGAAGCCGCAUUUAACUUAAUCCAAAGACUUGCAAAUAUCGCUCCAGUGAUGCAACUUGUUUGUAGAUCAAUCAUUUGUAUUUCCUCAUGUACUUUAACUAAAUAAAUAUUUUAUAUAGC